rnacentral:siRNA from 1 species
GUUCAACGGUUCUCGAUUGGCUC